rnacentral:rRNA from 1 species
AACGAACGCUGGCGGCAGGCCUAACACAUGCAAGUCGAACGCUGUAGCAAUACAGAGUGGCAGACGGGUGAGUAACGCGUGGGAACAUUCCCAGUGGUACGGAAUAGCUCAGGGAAACUUGGGGUAAUACCGUAUACGCCCUUCGGGGGAAAGAUUUAUCGCCAUUGGAUUGGCCCGCGUUGGAUUAGCUAGUUGGUGAGGUAACGGCUCACCAAGGCGACGAUCCAUAGCUGGUUUGAGAGAAUGACCAGCCACACUGGGACUGAGACACGGCCCAGACUCCUACGGGAGGCAGCAGUGGGGAAUCUUGGACAAUGGGGGCAACCCUGAUCCAGCCAUGCCGCGUGAGUGACGAAGGCCUUCGGGUUGUAAAGCUCUUUUGACGGGGACGAUAAUGACGGUACCCGUAGAAUAAGUCCCGGCUAACUUCGUGCCAGCAGCCGCGGUAACAC